GCCCGCUUAGCUCAGAGGUUAGAGCAUCGCAUUUGUAAUGCGAUGGUUUCCGAUAGCCGGCU
rnacentral:tRNA from 1 species